rnacentral:tRNA from 1 species
GCCCGGCUAGAUCAGUCGGUAGAGCACGAAACUCUUAAUCUCGAAGUCAUGGGUUCGUGCCCCACGUUGGGCG